UGCCCUCUGGCACCUCCCACUCUCCAGCUUCUCUAGUACCUGCAGGUGCCUCAGGGAAGCUGAGGCUCAGAUCUAACCUGCCCUCUGCCAUCCACCGGAGUAGUCUCCCAGGUCCGCCUGGGCUUCUCUCCACCAGGCAGGAACCUGAACCAUGCUGAGUUCCCUUGCUGUCCUGUGUGUCCUCCUGUUUCCCGGUGGUGCAGCGGGGCUCAAGCUGGAGCAGACUCCUGUGGUCGUGGGGCGCUUGGGCACCUUGGCCACCCUGCCGUGCACAGUGGAUACCUCGGUGAGCUACAUCCACUGGUACUUCCACAAGGAGGAUACAGCCCCCAAGAGGCUCCUCUACCUAGACAUGUCCAGGUCGUAUGUGCAGAGGGAUAUAUUCGUGAAAGCAGACAAAGUCAACGCCAAGAAAGGCAGGAACAGUUACAGCUGUAACCUGUUGUUGCAGAAACUGGAGAAGAGUGAUGAGGGCGUGUACUACUGCGCUGCCUGGGAAGAUUGUUACUGGAGUAGUUGGAGCAAAAAAGUGUUUGGUCCUGGCACAAUUCUCAGGGUUACAGAUAAAAGUCCUGAAGACAUUUCCCCCAAGCCCACAAUUUUUCUUCCUUCGAUUGCUGAAAUAAAAGCCCAUCAGGUUGGAACGUAUAUUUGUCUUCUUGAGGAUAUUAUUCCUGAUAUUUUUAAGAUAGAUUGGAAAGAAAAGAACAGCAAAACAAUUCUGCAAUCCCAGCAGGGAAACACCGUGAAGACUAAGGACACAUACAUGAAAUUCAGCUGGGUGACUGUGACUGAAAAAUCAAUGGAUAAAGAACACCAAUGCAUUGUCAAAGAUAAGAGGAAUAAAGAAAGGGUUAAUCAAGAGAUUGAUUUUCCUUCAAUAAACAAAGAUUUGGUGGCAAGGAUGGAAUCCGAUAUGGACCCUGCGGGGCAUUCAGAGCCAAAGCAAAACACAGAGGUGGUAACUUUGAACCCUGCCAGUUCAAGAUCUUUCAGGCCUGUCCUUAGCACUGUGGAAUUUGCUGCUAUUAACUCUACAGAAGCUUCCCUGCAUGAUGAAAAUGAUCCCCUGCAGCUUCAACUCAUGAACACCUCUGCCUACUACACCUACCUCCUCCUCCUCCUGAAGAGCCUGAUGUACUCCAUCGUCACUGCCAUCUGUCUGCUUGGGAGAUCAGUGUUCGAUGGCAAUGGGAAGAGUUCUUAAUAUGAUGCCUACAGGGUCCACUUUUUCCCAUUGGCUUUUGUCCCUAUAAAUGUCUGCUGAGGAUCUAGUGGGGUUUUGUUUCUAUGAUUGGGUUAUUUCCUUUCACAUGUAUCUUUCUCUGUAGGGUCACAAUGCAGAAUGGGUUUAUAAACUCCUGGGCAAACACAAACUUUCACUCUGCAGCAAGAACAAAUUCUGCUAUGACUCAGGGGUGGGGACAGGAGGCCAUCCCCAGGGGCUUCAUCACUUCUCUCUCUUAAUGCCCACCCACUCCCCAGCCACGCAGUACCCAUGCCUCUGUGUACAGUCUGCAUGCAGCUUCCAGCUGUGUCCUUGAACUCUUUUACCUUAUGAUUACUUGGAAGCCCUUUAUUGUACAUACCUAGAAGAUCACCUCCUUACUGAUUUACCUUUGUACUGUUUUUCAU